AAGUUCUACGGGGUAGCAAAAAAAGCGCGGGGUGAGCGUCGCCGGCACGUGUAUCGCGUGCCGGCCGCGGAGUGUCUGCAUGCACGGCGGGGCCAACCAUCGUCCGAUCUCAAUCGCAUGCGGGCCGACUUGCGGAUAAGCAACGUUCCGUCGUCCGACCGGGGGAUGCAACAGCGGGCGGCGGCGGACGUACUUUGAUC
rnacentral:ncRNA from 1 species